UGGGGAAUUGUUCGCAAUGGGCGCAAGCCUGACGACGCAACGCCGCGUGGAGGAUGAAGAUCUUCGGGUCGUAAACUCCUGUCGAGCGGGAAGAAUUGCUUCGAGGUGAAUAUCCUCGAAGUUUGACGGUACCGCUAAAGGAAGCCCCGGCUAACUCCGUGCCAGCAGCCGCGGUAAUACGGGGGGGGCAAGCGUUGUUCGGAAUUACUGGGCGUAAAGGGCUCGUAGGCGGCCGACUAAGUCAGACGUGAAAUCCCCAGGCUCAACCUGGGAACUGCGUCUGAUACUGGUUGGCUUGAAUUUGGGAGAGGGAUGCAGAAUUCCAGGUGUAGCGGUGAAAUGCGUAGAUAUCUGGAGGAAUACCGGUGGCGAAGGCGGCAUCCUGGACCAACAUUGACGCUGAGGAGCGAAAGCUAGGGGAGCAAACGGG
rnacentral:rRNA from 1 species